UCGAUGGUGCACCUUGCGGUUCCCACCUCCGUUCACUUUCAUUACGCGCCCGGGCUUGACACCCAAACACUCGCAUAGAUGUUAGACUCCUUGGUCCGUGUUUCAAGACGGGCCGCUUACAGCCAUUACGCCAGCAUCCUAGCAGAUGCGCGGACCUCAGUCCGGGCUGGUUGCAUUACGCCUCCCCUAUAAGGUCUCCCCGAAGAGAGAUACGUGACAGAGGCCUUUAUCCAACCGCCCAAACUGAUGCUGGCCUGCCCACAGAAGAGUGCCCCAGGCCGAAGCCUAGGUGAGCAACUGCGGGCAAGUCUGGCUGCAAGCGCUUCCCUUUCAACAAUUUCACGUGCUUUUUGACUCUCUUUCCAAAGUACUUUUCAUCUUUCGAUCACUCUACUUGUGCGCUAUCGGUCUCUGGCCGGUAUUUAGCUUUAGAAGAAAUUUACCUCCCAUUUAGAGCUGCAUUCCCAAACAACUCGACUCGUCGAAGGGGCUUUACACGGCAAAGGCAGGCGCCCACGUACGGGAUUCUCACCCUCUGCGAUGUCCUGUUCCAAGGAACUUAGACCGCCGCCUAUGCCAAAGCACCCUCUGCAAAUUACAACUCGGAC
rnacentral:rRNA from 1 species